GAUGUGCUUCGCAAACAACGAACAAGCGCGCUCGCCUUGGCUCAGGAAGAGAACAGCGCUCCUUCGUUGACGACGCAGCUCUGCAGCCCCCUCCAAGCCCUUUUGGGUAUCUGAACUCCGCGCUUCCGCGUGCUCCUCUGCACAGACCCUGCCUUGCGUUUUUUUUUCGUUUUAUUUCCUUCUCACAUACCGCGUUAUACGCAAUGCCGUGCUGCUGCUCUGGCGGCCAUUGCCUGAAGUACGCCACUCCAGGUCGGGCACCACCCGACCCACAGCUCUUUCCUCACUACAUGCAAAAUGCGCAGAACCUGUGGCUGCACUUCAGCGAGUGGUGGCCGCAUGGUGACGGCGGCAGCUGCCCGGCCCCGCCAACUAAAGGCGUCGUUUUUAUCGUGCCCGGCUUGGGCGAGCACACCGGCCGCUACGACUCCGUCGCGCUCCGACUCAACCAGGAGGGCUACGUUGUGUUUUCCAUGGACAAUCAAGGCACUGGCGGCAGCGAAGGCGAGCGGCUAUACGUUGAGCGCUUCACGCACUUCGUCGAUGACGUCUGCGCGUUCGUCGUAUUCAUCCAGACACGGUACGCGGCCCUCAAGAGCCAGCCAACCUUUCUUAUGGGGCACUCGAUGGGGGGCCUCAUUGCCACUCUGGUGGCGCAGAGGGACGCAAGUGGCUUCCGCGGGGUCGUGCUGAGCGGCCCGGCCCUCGGGCUGUCGAAGCCCGUCCCCCGCUUUAUGCGGUCGCUUGCGCACUUUCUCUCACAGUGGUUCCCGAAGCUGCCGGUGCGCAAACUCAACCCCGAACUCGUCAGCUACAACACCCCUGUCGUGCAACUUGUGAAGCAGGACCCAUUUUACUCCAACGUGACGCUUCGCGCGCGCUUCGUCGAUGAGAUGCUGAUUGCGCAGGAUCGCGCCGCAGAAGCUGCGGCAACGUCGAAGUUUCCUUUUCUGAUUGUCCACGGCGAGGAAGAUCAGCUCUGCUCGUUAGAGACGUCUAAAAGCUUCUUCAAGAACGCGCUGUCAGAGGACAAGUUUCUGGCCUCCUACCGCCGUGCCGGGCAUGAAGUACUGACGGAGAUGUGCCGAGCUGAGGUGAUGGCAGAGGUGAUGAAGUUUAUCAACGAGCGGGCGAGGUGAACUACUUGUUUGCCGCCUUCUGCUUCUCUGGGAGAAGGUGUGAAGCUCUGCCAGAUGAGGAACCGUCGCAGCCGGACGAGGCGGAUACCGCAGGCGCGAACGGGUACUUCCGUCAACUAUGCCGGGGCGAUUUCAGCAGCCUUAUUCACCGAUUCUGUAUUUACAGCCCCCGAGGAUGCCGGCCAGCACAGCGCGUGGCAUGAAGGGUCCACUACACCAACUCUGUGGGGGACGCCAAGCAGCCUGCAGCCUGCGCUUGGGUGCUGGCUGCGGACUGCCGGUGUGGGCGGACAGGGCUGUGCUGGACCGACGCGUGGUGAUGGUGAUCAGGUGUGUGACAGCUCACUGAGCAUUGUGUCGACGGUCCAACAAAUAUGUGCGUGCACGGUGGUCUCUUCUGCCUCUGCGGCGUUGCGGUGCUGCCGAGCGCAGUCCCGGACCUGGCCUGCGCUGUCCGCAGUGGGGUUGCACCUGAUUGAGCGACGCCGAGCGGAGCUGGUUGCCGUGGCUGCUGGGCACAGCUGCAGUGCCGCAGAGGCAGGUGAGCUUCGGCCGCACGCGCAUAUGUCUGCUGACUUGCUCAUGCUAUAGUCGACACGCCGAAGAAAAGCAAACGAGGACUCUAUUCACAGCGACACCGCCUUAUAGCUACUGAAUGCCCUCUUUCACGCCGACCCAGAUGGACAUCGAUGGCUUGCCCGUAUCUACUCACAUGUGUCCGCAUUUUUUUUUUCGUUGUCUCCUCUCACGUUCACGGGAGGCGCAUGCGCGGCAACGUACGCCGUCGAAG
rnacentral:misc_RNA from 1 species